rnacentral:rRNA from 1 species
UACAGAGGUCCCAAGCGUUGUUCGGAUUCACUGGGCGUAAAGGGUGCGUAGGCGGUCGGGUAAGUCUGAUGUGAAAUCUCACAGCUUAACUGUAAAACUGCAUUGGAUACUAUCCGGCUCGAGGAAUGGAGGGGAGACUGGAAUACUUGGUGUAGCAGUGAAAUGCGUAGAUAUCGGGAAGAACACCCGUGGCGAAGGCGGCUCUCUGGAACGCAACUGACGCUGAGACGCGAAAGCGUGGGGAGCAAACAGG